ACGAACGCUGGCGGCGUGCCUAACACAUGCAAGUCGAGGGGUGCCCUCGGGCAUCACUGGCGCACGGGUGAGUAACGCGUAGAUCAUCUGCCCCUAUCACUGACAUAACAGUUCUAACGGACUGCUAAUAUCAGAUGAGGUGACGAGAGUCAUCAAAGUUUCGACGGAUAGGGAUGAGUCUGCGUCUGAUUAGGUAGUUGGUGAGGUAACGGCUCACCAAGCCGACGAUCAGUAACUGGUCUGAGAGGACGAACAGUCACACUGGAACUGAGACACGGUCCAGACUCCUACGGGAGGCAGCAGUGAGGAAUAUUGCACAAUGGGAGCAAUCCUGAUGCAGCGACGCCGCGUGCGGGAUGAAGGGGCUUAGCCUCGUAAACCGCUGUCGGAGGGGACGAAUGGUACAUUUGAUGUACUGAGACGGUACCCUCAAAGGAAGGAUCGGCUAACUACGUGCCAGCAGCCGCGGUAAUACGUAGGAUCCGAGCGUUGUCCGGAAUUACUGGGUGUAAAGGGUGCGUAGGCGGACUUGUGCGUCAGAGGUGAAAUCCACGGGCUUAACCCGUGGGGUGCCUUUGAUACGGCAAGUCUUGAGUGCGAGAGAGGUGGGUGGAAUUCCUGGUGUAGCAGUGAAAUGCGUAGAUAUCAGGAGGAACACCGAUGGCGAAGGCAGCCCACCGGCCGCAACUGACGCUGAGGCACGAAAGCGUGGGGAUCAAACAGGAUUAGAUACCCUGGUAGUCCACGCCUUAAACGAUGUAUGCUUGGUGUUGGAACGAAAGUUUCAGUGCCGGAGGAAACCUAUUAAGCAUACCACCUGGGGAGUACGAUCGCAAGGUUG
rnacentral:rRNA from 1 species